GACAGAGGGUGCAAACGUUGUUCGGAAUUACUGGGCGUAAAGAGCUCGUAGGUGGUUUGUCGCGUUGUUCGUGAAAACUCACAGCUUAACUGUGGGCGUGCGGGCGAUACGGGCAGACUGGAGUACUGCAGGGGAGACUGGAAUUCCUGGUGUAGCGGUGGAAUGCGCAGAUAUCAGGAGGAACACCGGUGGCGAAGGCGGGUCUCUGGGCAGUAACUGACGCUGAGGAGCGAAAGCCAGGGGAGCAAACGGG
rnacentral:rRNA from 1 species